rnacentral:rRNA from 1 species
GGUUAAGCGACUAAGCGUACACGGUGGAUGCCCUGGCAGUCAGAGGCGAUGAAGGACGUGCUAAUCUGCGAUAAGCGUCGGUGAGGUGAUAUGAACCGUUAUAACCGGCGAUUUCCGAAUGGGGAAACCCAGUGUGUUUCGACACACUAUCAUUAACUGAAUCCAUAGGUUAAUGAGGCGAACCGGGGGAACUGAAACAUCUAAGUACCCCGAGGAAAAGAAAUCAACCGAGAUUCCCCCAGUAGCGGCGAGCGAACGGGGAGGAGCCCAGAGCCUGAAUCAGUGUGUGUGUUAGUGGAAGCGUCUGGAAAGGCGUGCGAUACAGGGUGACAGCCCCGUACACAAAAAUGCACAUAUUGUGAGCUCGAUGAGUAGGGCGGGACACGUGGUAUCCUGUCUGAAUAUGGGGGGACCAUCCUCCAAGGCUAAAUACUCCUGACUGACCGAUAGUGAACCAGUACCGUGAGGGAAAGGCGAAAAGAACCCCGGCGAGGGGAGUGAAAAAGAACCUGAAACCGUGUACGUACAAGCAGUGGGAGCCUCUUAAUGGGGUGACUGCGUACCUUUUGUAUAAUGGGUCAGCGACUUAUAUUCUGUAGCAAGGUUAACCGAAUAGGGGAGCCGAAGGGAAACCGAGUCUUAACUGGGCGUUAAGUUGCAGGGUAUAGACCCGAAACCCGGUGAUCUAGCCAUGGGCAGGUUGAAGGUUGGGUAACACUAACUGGAGGACCGAACCGACUAAUGUUGAAAAAUUAGCGGAUGACUUGUGGCUGGGGGUGAAAGGCCAAUCAAACCGGGAGAUAGCUGGUUCUCCCCGAAAGCUAUUUAGGUAGCGCCUCGUGAAUUCAUCUCCGGGGGUAGAGCACUGUUUCGGCAAGGGGGUCAUCCCGACUUACCAACCCGAUGCAAACUGCGAAUACCGGAGAAUGUUAUCACGGGAGACACACGGCGGGUGCUAACGUCCGUCGUGAAGAGGGAAACAACCCAGACCGCCAGCUAAGGUCCCAAAGUCAUGGUUAAGUGGGAAACGAUGUGGGAAGGCCCAGACAGCCAGGAUGUUGGCUUAGAAGCAGCCAUCAUUUAAAGAAAGCGUAAUAGCUCACUGGUCGAGUCGGCCUGCGCGGAAGAUGUAACGGGGCUAAACCAUGCACCGAAGCUGCGGCAGCGACGCUUAUGCGUUGUUGGGUAGGGGAGCGUUCUGUAAGCCUGUGAAGGUGUGCUGUGAGGCAUGCUGGAGGUAUCAGAAGUGCGAAUGCUGACAUAAGUAACGAUAAAGCGGGUGAAAAGCCCGCUCGCCGGAAGACCAAGGGUUCCUGUCCAACGUUAAUCGGGGCAGGGUGAGUCGACCCCUAAGGCGAGGCCGAAAGGCGUAGUCGAUGGGAAACAGGUUAAUAUUCCUGUACUUGGUGUUACUGCGAAGGGGGGACGGAGAAGGCUAUGUUGGCCGGGCGACGGUUGUCCCGGUUUAAGCGUGUAGGCUGGUUUUCCAGGCAAAUCCGGAAAACCAAGGCUGAGGCGUGAUGACGAGGCACUACGGUGCUGAAGCGACAAAUGCCCUGCUUCCAGGAAAAGCCUCUAAGCAUCAGGUAACAUCAAAUCGUACCCCAAACCGACACAGGUGGUCAGGUAGAGAAUACCAAGGCGCUUGAGAGAACUCGGGUGAAGGAACUAGGCAAAAUGGUGCCGUAACUUCGGGAGAAGGCACGCUGAUAUGUAGGUGAAGCGACUUGCUCGUGGAGCUGAAAUCAGUCGAAGAUACCAGCUGGCUGCAACUGUUUAUUAAAAACACAGCACUGUGCAAACACGAAAGUGGACGUAUACGGUGUGACGCCUGCCCGGUGCCGGAAGGUUAAUUGAUGGGGUUAGCGGUAACGCGAAGCUCUUGAUCGAAGCCCCGGUAAACGGCGGCCGUAACUAUAACGGUCCUAAGGUAGCGAAAUUCCUUGUCGGGUAAGUUCCGACCUGCACGAAUGGCGUAAUGAUGGCCAGGCUGUCUCCACCCGAGACUCAGUGAAAUUGAACUCGCUGUGAAGAUGCAGUGUACCCGCGGCAAGACGGAAAGACCCCGUGAACCUUUACUAUAGCUUGACACUGAACAUUGAGCCUUGAUGUGUAGGAUAGGUGGGAGGCUUUGAAGUGUGGACGCCAGUCUGCAUGGAGCCGACCUUGAAAUACCACCCUUUAAUGUUUGAUGUUCUAACGUUGGCCCGUAAUCCGGGUUGCGGACAGUGUCUGGUGGGUAGUUUGACUGGGGCGGUCUCCUCCUAAAGAGUAACGGAGGAGCACGAAGGUUGGCUAAUCCUGGUCGGACAUCAGGAGGUUAGUGCAAUGGCAUAAGCCAGCUUGACUGCGAGCGUGACGGCGCGAGCAGGUGCGAAAGCAGGUCAUAGUGAUCCGGUGGUUCUGAAUGGAAGGGCCAUCGCUCAACGGAUAAAAGGUACUCCGGGGAUAACAGGCUGAUACCGCCCAAGAGUUCAUAUCGACGGCGGUGUUUGGCACCUCGAUGUCGGCUCAUCACAUCCUGGGGCUGAAGUAGGUCCCAAGGGUAUGGCUGUUCGCCAUUUAAAGUGGUACGCGAGCUGGGUUUAGAACGUCGUGAGACAGUUCGGUCCCUAUCUGCCGUGGGCGCUGGAGAACUGAGGGGGGCUGCUCCUAGUACGAGAGGACCGGAGUGGACGCAUCACUGGUGUUCGGGUUGUCAUGCCAAUGGCACUGCCCGGUAGCUAAAUGCGGAAGAGAUAAGUGCUGAAAGCAUCUAAGCACGAAACUUGCCCCGAGAUGAGUUCUCCCUGAGACUUAGAGUCUCCUGAAGGAACGUUGAAGACGACGACGUUGAUAGGCCGGGUGUGUAAGCGCAGCGAUGCGUUGAGCUAACCGGUACUAAUGAACCGUGAGGCUUAACCUU